rnacentral:rRNA from 1 species
CCUACGGGAGGCAACAGUAGGGAAUCUUGCUCAAUGGGGGAAACCCUGAAGCAGCAACGCCGCGUGGAGGAUGAAGGUUUUCGGAUUGUAAACUCCUUUUGUUAGAGAAGAUAAUGACGGUAUCUAACGAAUAAGCACCGGCUAACUCCGUGCCAGCAGCCGCGGUAAUACGUAGGGUGCAAGCGUUACUCGGAAUCACUGGGCGUAAAGAGCGCGUAGGCGGGAUAGCAAGUCAGAUGUGAAAUCCUAUGGGUUAACCAUAGAACUGCAUUUGAAACUGUUAUUCUAGAGUAUGGGAGAGGUAGGUGGAAUUCUUGGUGUAGGGGUAAAAUCCGUAGAGAUCAAGAGGAAUACUCAUUGCGAAGGCGACCUGCUAGAACAUAACUGACGCUGAUGCGCGAAAGCGUGGGGAGCAAACAGGAUUAGAUACCCUUGUAGUC